rnacentral:rRNA from 1 species
CGGAGGGUGCGAGCGUUGUCCGGAAUCACUGGGCGUAAAGGGCGCGUUGGUGGCCCGGUAAGUAGGGGGUGAAAUCUUGCGGCUCAACCGCAAGGCUGCCUUCUAAACUGCCAGGCUUGAGCACAGUAGAGGCAGGUGGAAUUCCCGGUGUAGCGGUGGAAUGCGUAGAGAUCGGGAAGAACAUCGGUGGCGAAGGCGGCCUGCUGGGCUGUUGCUGACACUGAGGCGCGACAGCGUGGGGAGCAAACAGGAUUAGAUACCCUGGUAGUCCACGCCGUAAACGAUGGGCACUAGGCGUCGGGGGGAGCGACCCUCCCGGUGCCGUCGCUAACGCAGUAAGUGCCCCGCCUGGGGAGUACGGCCGCAAGGCUG